rnacentral:rRNA from 1 species
UACGGAGGGUGCAAGCGUUGUCCGGAUUUAUUGGGUUUAAAGGGUACGUAGGUGGUCGUGUAAGUCAGUGGUGAAAGCUCAUAGCUCAACUAUGAGACUGCCAUUGAAACUGCAUAACUAGAGUAUUUUAGGGGCAAGUGGAAUUAGUGGUGUAGGGGUGAAAUCCGUAGAUACCACUAGGAACACCAGAGGCGAAAGCGGCUUGCUAUAAAUAUACUGACACUAAAGUACGAAAGCGUGGGGAGCGAACAGG